UUAUAGGUAGAAAAAGGUAGAAAAAAUGAGCAAGGAGGAGAAGUGAAAGUGUUAUAGUAAGGGUGGUACACAGAAGAGAUAUUGAAAUAAGGAAGUGAGAUGACCUCUGUAUAUUCUAGUGUCGGAAAUACAAGCGGUAAGCCAAAAGUUGCCAGUAAAGUAGAAAGAUGUGGGAUCUCAUUUGGAAAGAAAGCAGAUAAAAUCCUGUGGAAGGAGCAUGUCACAAGAAAAAGAAGGUAGAAAAAAUGAGAAAGGAGGAGAAGUGAAAGUGUUAUAGUAAGGGUGGUACACAGAAGAGAUAUUGAAAUAAGGAAGUGAGAUGACCUCUGUAUAUUCUAGUGUCGGAAAUACAAGCGGUAAGCCAAAAGUUGCCAGUAAAGUAGAAAGAUGUGGGAUCUCAUUUGGAAAGAAAGCAGAUAAAAUCCUGUGGAAGGAGCAUGUCACAAGAAAAAGAAGGUAGAAAAAAUGAGAAAGGAGGAGAAGUGAAAGUGUUAUAGUAAGGGUGGUACACAGAAGAGAUAUUGAAAUAAGGAAGUGAGAUGACCUCUGUAUAUUCUAGUGUCGGAAAUACAAGCGGUAAGCCAAAAGUUGCCAGUAAAGUAGAAAGAUGUGGGAUCUCAUUUGGAAAGAAAGCAGAUAAAAUCCUGUGGAAGGAGCAUGUCACAAGAAAAAGAAGGUAGAAAAAAUGAGAAAGGAGGAGAAGUGAAAGUGUUAUAGUAAGGGUGGUACACAGAAGAGAUAUUGAAAUAAGGAAGUGAGAUGACCUCUGUAUAUUCUAGUGUCGGAAAUACAAGCGGUAAGCCAAAAGUUGCCAGUAAAGUAGAAAGAUGUGGGAUCUCAUUUGGAAAGAAAGCAGAUAAAAUCCUGUGGAAGGAGCAUGUCACAAGAAAAAGAAGGUAGAAAAAAUGAGAAAGGAGGAGAAGUGAAAGUGUUAUAGUAAGGGUGGUACACAGAAGAGAUAUUGAAAUAAGGAAGUGAGAUGACCUCUGUUUAUUCUAGUGUCGGAAAUACAAGCGGUAAGCCAAAAGUUGCCAGUAAAGUAGAAAGAUGUGGGAUCUCAUUUGGAAAGAAAGCAGAUAAAAUCCUGUGGAAGGAGCAUGUCACAAGAAAAAGAAGGUAGAAAAAAUGAGAAAGGAGGAGAAGUGAAAGUGUUAUAGUAAGGGUGGUACACAGAAGAGAUAUUGAAAUAAGGAAGUGAGAUGACCUCUGUAUAUUCUAGUGUCGGAAAUACAAGCGGUAAGCCAAAAGUUGCCAGUAAAGUAGAAAGAUGUGGGAUCUCAUUUGGAAAGAAAGCAGAUAAAAUCCUGUGGAAGGAGCAUGUCACAAGAAAAAGAAGGUAGAAAAAAUGAGAAAGGAGGAGAAGUGAAAGUGUUAUAGUAAGGGUGGUACACAGAAGAGAUAUUGAAAUAAGGAAGUGAGAUGACCUCUGUUUAUUCUAGUGUCGGAAAUACAAGCGGUAAGCCAAAAGUUGCCAGUAAAGUAGAAAGAUGUGGGAUCUCAUUUGGAAAGAAAGCAGAUAAAAUCCUGUGGAAGGAGCAUGUCACAAGAAAAAGAAGGUAGAAAAAAUGAGAAAGGAGGAGAAGUGAAAGUGUUAUAGUAAGGGUGGUACACAGAAGAGAUAUUGAAAUAAGGAAGUGAGAUGACCUCUGUAUAUUCUAGUGUCGGAAAUACAAGCGGUAAGCCAAAAGUUGCCAGUAAAGUAGAAAGAUGUGGGAUCUCAUUUGGAAAGAAAGCAGAUAAAAUCCUGUGGAAGGAGCAUGUCACAAGAAAAAGAAGGUAGAAAAAAUGAGAAAGGAGGAGAAGUGAAAGUGUUAUAGUAAGGGUGGUACACAGAAGAGAUAUUGAAAUAAGGAAGUGAGAUGACCUCUGUAUAUUCUAGUGUCGGAAAUACAAGCGGUAAGCCAAAAGUUGCCAGUAAAGUAGAAAGAUGUGGGAUCUCAUUUGGAAAGAAAGCAGAUAAAAUCCUGUGGAAGGAGCAUGUCACAAGAAAAAGAAGGUAGAAAAAAUGAGCAAGGAGGAGAAGUGAAAGUGUUAUAGUAAGGGUGGUACACAGAAGAGAUAUUGAAAUAAGGAAGUGAGAUGACCUCUGUAUAUUCUAGUGUCGGAAAUACAAGCGGUAAGCCAAAAGUUGCCAGUAAAGUAGAAAGAUGUGGGAUCUCAUUUGGAAAGAAAGCAGAUAAAAUCCUGUGGAAGGAGCAUGUCACAAG